UGCUCAGAGAUUUUGACAGGACAAAGGC
rnacentral:piRNA from 1 species